AUGCAAUAUAGUCUGUACUUUUGGAAGGACUAGCACUUAUUAGAUAUUAAACCAAUACCCAGCAAGUGGGUUUCUUGGUGAUUCAUAGUAACUGAACAAAUCACAUGGUCUCGUACCGGUGAUGUUUCAUUCAAAUUUCUGCCCUAUCAACUAGAUGGUAGUAUAUAGGACUACCAUGGUUGUAACGGGUAACGGAGGAUUAGGGUUUGAUUCCGGAGAAGGAGCCUGAGAAAUGGCUACCACUUCUAAGGAGGGCAGCAGGCGCGCAAAUUACCCAAUCCUAAUACGGGGAGGUAGUGACAUAAAUAACAAUGCUGGUAUUAAUAUACUAGUAAUUGGAAUGAGAACAAUUUAAACCCCUUAUCGAGUAACCAUCAGAGGGCAAGUCUGGUGCCAGCAGCCGCGGUAAUUCCAGCUCUGAUAGCGUAUAUUAAAGUUGUUGCAGUUAAAAAGCUCGUAGUUGGAU
rnacentral:rRNA from 1 species